rnacentral:rRNA from 1 species
UUGAACAUGAGAGUUUGAUCCUGGCUCAGAACGAACGCUGGCGGCAGGCCUAACACAUGCAAGU